rnacentral:rRNA from 1 species
GACGGAGGAUCCAAGCGUUAUCCGGAUUUAUUGGGUUUAAAGGGUGCGUAGGCGGAAUUGUAAGUCAGUGGUGAAAUCCUACAGCUUAACUGUAGAACGGCCAUUGAUACUGCAGAUCUUGAGUAUAUUUGAAGUGGGCGGAAUGUGUCAUGUAGCGGUGAAAUGCUUAGAUAUGACACAGAACACCGAUUGCGAAGGCAGCUCACUAAACUAUAACUGACGCUGAGGCACGAAAGCGUGGGGAGCAAACAGG